UCACCUCGCACUGUCCGCCAAACCAGCCGCCCGCCGCCGCUAUCUUCCUCCUCUCCCGAUUCCUCCAAAGCAGCCGCCGGCCUCCAACCCCACCGCCCACCUCGUCUCCCCCAAUCCCGGCCUCCGCCCUCUACUCCUCUGCCGGCGCCCCCUUCCCUCCCCUCCCAUUCUCUCCCCGUACGAGCUUCGGCCGCAGCAAGAUCUGCCACGGUCGCACCGCUGCUUCCGCAUCUGUGCCAUCCUCCCGCAUCCUCACCAUCUCCCGCCCUCACGUCCAAUCCGGAUGCCACACCCCUCGCCACUACGUGAAUCCCCUCUCGCUACUGCGUGAAUCCCCUCCGCCAGAUCUUGUGGUCCUCGCCAUCACGCCGGGGGUUUGGGUCGCCAUGAGGAGACGCGGGAGAAGUUCUGUAGGAGCAUCGUCACCAAAGGCACCUGCAAUGUCUCAGGGAGAACAAGAACGUCGCCGACAGUUUUGAUCGAUUGUACGAUUCCUAUAUCAGCACCUAGCCCACCCAUCUAAUCUGCACCUACAUGCAAGCCGUGUAUUCGCUUUAACAAGGAGGGUACUCUGUUGGCUGUCUCUACUGUUGAUACUUGAUAAUGGUACCAAAGUUUUAGCAAAUGCCGAUGGUCUUCGGUUAUUGCGCACACUGGAAGAUCGUUCUAUCGAUGCUUCUCGUAGUGCAUCUGACACUGUAACAAAGCCUCUAAUAAAUCCACUGACUGCUGGUGCCGUGGAAGCCGCCGCCGCCGGUGCAACCAGUUCUGAACUGCUGCUCCAUCAGCUAUAACUGCAAUGAAACUUGGUUGAUGUAAAACCUGGAAUAGCUGAUGAGUCAAUGCAUAAGUCAAAGGUCUGGAAGCUUGUGGAGAUAACUGAUACAGCUCAGUGCAGAUCAUUAAAACUGGGUGAUAGUAUUAACACAGCUAAGAACACUGUUUUAGCUCUCGUUAGAUGCUUGACGUUUGACAAGUGUCUUACGGACAUGAACAAUCAUUAUGACUGCUAAGUGAAGCUAUAUCUUCGGGAUCCAAUUCCAACCACGUCGACCAGAGCGGCUCCGCUAUCGUCGCAGGCCGUCCAGUGCAAGAGACCACCGGACGGGCAAGCGCUUCGCGACACAGGUCAAGAAGCCACCACCUAAGACAACGAUUGAAAAGGCGGCACCACCGUCGCCUCCCUUCAAACUCGCAGCCACCGCGCUGGCGGCGAGCUCGCACGCGCGCGUCGUCGACCAGCACCACCGCCGCAGAUUACUCCCUACCGCCGCGCCACCUCGUCAUCAUCGUCGGUGGAGGACGACCCUGAAUACGGUUACCUGCGGAUGGUGCUAGAGCGUAGCGGGUUAAUGUGCGCAAUGCCGCCGCCGAACUGGCCGUUCAAGGGCCACUCCAUGUCAUCCCCGGUGGACCUGAUCGUGUUCCACCUCCCCGCGGACGACUCCGACGACCGGCGCCAAGGU